AGAGUUUGAUCCUGGCUCAGGAUGAACGCUGGCGGCGUGCUUAACACAUGCAAGUCGAACGAACCUUCGGGUUAGUGGCGGACGGGUGAGUAACGCGUGAGAAUCUGCCCUCAGGAGGGGGAUAACAGCUGGAAACGGCUGCUAAUACCCCAUAUGCCGCGAGGUGAAAUGAAUUUCGCCUGAGGAUGAGCUCGCGUCUGAUUAGCUAGUUGGUGUAGGUAAUGGCUCACCAAGGCAUCGAUCAGUAGCUGGUCUGAGAGGAUGAUCAGCCACACUGGGACUGAGACACGGCCCAGACUCCUACGGGAGGCAGCAGUGGGGAAUUUUCCGCAAUGGGCGAAAGCCUGACGGAGCAACGCCGCGUGAGGGAUGAAGGCCUCUGGGCUGUAAACCUCUUUUAUCAAGGAAGAAGAUCUGACGGUACUUGAUGAAUAAGCCACGGCUAAUUCCGUGCCAGCAGCCGCGGUAAUACGGGAGUGGCAAGCGUUAUCCGGAAUUAUUGGGCGUAAAGCGUCCGCAGGCGGCCCUUCAAGUCUGCUGUUAAAAAGUGGAGCUUAACUCCAUCAUGGCAGUGGAAACUGAGGGGCUUGAGUGUGGUAGGGGCAGAGGGAAUUCCCGGUGUAGCGGUGAAAUGCGUAGAUAUCGGGAAGAACACCAGUGGCGAAGGCGCUCUGCUGGGCCAUCACUGACGCUCAUGGACGAAAGCCAGGGGAGCGAAAGGGAUUAGAUACCCCUGUAGUCCUGGCCGUAAACGAUGAACACUAGGUGUCGGGGGAAUCGACCCCCUCGGUGUCGUAGCCAACGCGUUAAGUGUUCCGCCUGGGGAGUACGCACGCAAGUGUGAAACUCAAAGGAAUUGACGGGGGCCCGCACAAGCGGUGGAGUAUGUGGUUUAAUUCGAUGCAACGCGAAGAACCUUACCAGGGUUUGACAUCCUGCGAAUCUCUUGGAAACGAGAGAGUGCCUUCGGGAACGCAGUGACAGGUGGUGCAUGGCUGUCGUCAGCUCGUGUCGUGAGAUGUUGGGUUAAGUCCCGCAACGAGCGCAACCCACGUCUUUAGUUGCCAGCAUUUAGUUGGGCACUCUAGAGAGACCGCCGGUGAUAAACCGGAGGAAGGUGUGGAUGACGUCAAGUCAUCAUGCCCCUUACAUCCUGGGCUACACACGUACUACAAUGCUACGGACAAAGGGCAGCAAGUUCGCGAGGACAAGCAAAUCCCAUAAACCGUGGCUCAGUUCAGAUCGUAGGCUGCAACUCGCCUACGUGAAGGAGGAAUCGCUAGUAAUCGCAGGUCAGCAUACUGCGGUGAAUACGUUCCCGGGCCUUGUACACACCGCCCGUCACACCAUGGAAGUUGGCCACGCCCGAAGCCGUUACUCCAACCCUUGUGGAGGAGGACGUCGAAGGUGGGGCUGAUGACUGGGGUGAAGUCGUAACAAGGUAUCCGUACCGGAAGGUGCGGAUG
rnacentral:rRNA from 3 species